UUCUCGUUCUUUUUCUCACGUCUUCUCUCUCUCUCUCUCUCCUCUUUUCGUUCUUUCUUCCAUCAAGCCGAAGGGGGGCUUUCAUUACUAAGGAGGAGGGUAGAGGGACGGAGGAGAUGGAGUCGGCGGCGGCGUUCAGAGGCGGCAAUCCAGCGGUGAAAAAUCCCGACGAUCGAGGAUAACGCCCCAAAACAGAGAAAGAAAAGAUUAUGGAGGAAGGGGGUUUUCGAGCGACGGCGACUUGAUCGUAGCAGUCCGGCGGUUGCCGGAGGUUGCCGGAGGUGAGGAGGCAGGGAGGCUUCGAUGGUGGAUUCGAUUGAGAGGGGAGGGGUUUUAAAGAGAGAGAGAUGGCAAGGGAUAAGUUCGAUCAACCGUGGAUAAAGCUGGCCGUUCGCCGGCGUAAUCAAUCCAACAACCGACCCCUUCCGGCAUACGGCUCUAUCCGGUCACCCAACGCAGCCUUAUCUUCUCCGAUGGCUGAAGAUCGGGCAGGGACAAAGUUCCCCUGUUCCGAUUUUUUUUUUUUUUUGAACAGUUCCUGUGAAGCGGUAGAUAUUGCCGACUUCAUGUUGAACUGGAUCUAAAAAAACCGGUUCUCACAGCUUCCAAAUGCAUUUUGCAUCCUCCCGGUUCCUGCUGGGACAACCGUCCACACGUUUGUCAAACCAGCGAGCGUCUCUCCAAGAAAACUAACAGCUUUUAUUUCUUGAUUUUUCUGUGGAGCUGUAUGAAUGGUACGCAAAUACGAACACCUGAGCUGCCAGUAUUGUAUCAUCUUUUGCAUUGGCUUGACGUCAGUUAUAAUCCCAAAAUGCGAUAUCUUCAAUAGAAGAAGGCCUAGUAAAUCUUACUUUUUUUUUGGAUGUAAUUGGAGGUAGCCAGCGGCUGCCCCCAGCUCUUGUUAAGAUGAAUGAAGAAAAUUUACAAGAAGAAGGGAAAAGGAAUAAGAAAAGUACUUCACAGGCUGUGUAAAGUUAGAACCCUCCAAAGAAUCUCGCGGUUCUUCUCUGUUUUCCUCGUACGGAGACACUGCCAACCAUGAAAUGCGUGGAUUGGUUUUUGAAGGGUUGAAAGGAGGGAUCGCCUCUUCCUAAAACAUAUCCUCUCGCCAGACUUCCCACCAAAUGGGUGCUGGAAGCUGAUCAUCUGCUCGUUUACCCAACUUUUGAUGAUUUUUUGUUCUACACUGUGUCCAUAGAUCAUGCAAAUUCGUUGAAG
rnacentral:lncRNA from 1 species